rnacentral:rRNA from 1 species
AUUGAACGCUGGCGGCACGCUUUACACAUGCAAGUCGAACGGUAACAGGCCGCAAGGUGCUGACGAGUGGCGAACGGGUGAGUAAUGCAUCGGAACGUGCCCAGUCGUGGGGGAUAACGCAGCGAAAGCUGUGCUAAUACCGCAUACGAUCUGUGGAUGAAAGCGGGGGACCGAAAGGCCUCGCGCGAUUGGAGCGGCCGGUGUCAGAUUAGGUAGUUGGUGGGGUAAAGGCUCACCAAGCCAACGAUCUGUAGCUGGUCUGAGAGGACGACCAGCCACAUUGGGACUGAGACACGGCCCAGACUCCUACGGGAGGCAGCAGUGGGGAAUUUUGGACAAUGGGCGAAAGCCUGAUCCAGCAAUGCCGCGUGCAGGAAGAAGGCCUUCGGGUUGUAAACUGCUUUUGUACGGAGCGAAAAGGCUCUCUCUAAUACAGGGGGCUCAUGACGGUACCGUAAGAAUAAGCACCGGCUAACUACGUGCCAGCAGCCGCCGUAACAC